rnacentral:lncRNA from 1 species
GUUCCUGGCUCCCUUUCGCCCGCAGGUCGCCCAAGUCCAGCCCCACGACGCAGUGCCGACUCCCCGCCGUGCCCCCAGCCCGGCCCGGGUUGCGGAGCCCUGCUCCUGGGCCUCUGCCUGCUGCGUCCACCCUGGGGGAAGCGCCCGUCGUACCCUCCACACCGGGGGCUUCCCCUGACCCCUUAGGCCCUCCCCCUGCAGGUGCCCUCGCGCCCCUCCCGGGGUCCCCAGGUAGCCGAAGCAGGGAGAGAGAAGGCAGCAUACGUCAGCGUUUUCUUCUAUGCACUUAUAAGAAAGAUCAAAGACUUUAAGACUUUCACUAUUCCUUCUACCACUGUCUACUACAAACUUCAAAGAGGAACCAGGAGUACAGGAGGAACAUGAAAGUGGACAAGGAGCGUGACCAUUGAAGCACAGCACCACAGGGAGGGGUUUAGGCCUCCGGAUGACUGCGGGCAGGCCUGGAUACUAUCCAGCCUCCCACAAGAAGCUGGUGGAGCAGAGUGUUCCCUGACUCCUCCAAGGAAAGGGAGACUCCCUUUCGCGGUCUGCUAAGUAACGGGUGCCUUCCCAGACACUGGCGUUACCACUUGACCAAGGAGCCCUCAAGCGGACCUUAUGCGGGCAUGACAGGGCUCACCUCUUGCCUUCUACAUCACUUCUCACAAUGUCCCUUCAGCACCUGACCCUAUACCCGCAGGUUAUUCCUAGGUUAUAUUAGUAAUUAAAAGCUAAUGAUUAAUAAUGUUUAUAGUAAUGAUUGGUAAUUGUCUAUGAUCAUCUCUAUAUCUAAUUUGUAUUAUGACUAUUCUUAUUCUAAUUAUUUUCUUUAUUAUAUUGAAACAGUUUGUGCCUUCAGUCUCUUGCCCCAGCACCUGAGUAAUCCUCCACCCACAGGGCCACAGGCCCCAUGAGAUCUCUGAGGCCACAGAGUGUGUCCACACACGUGACCUCCAGGGUGAUUCGGGCCAGAGCACAGGAAUGGCCCAGGCAGAGGUGGCCUGGGCGUGGGCAGAGAUGGCUCGGGCUGGGCCUGAGGCAUCCAGGGGCUCAGCAUCGCAUCUCCUCAGGGGGGCCAUCUGAGACUGCUGGGCCAGUGAAGAGGCUUCUCCCGGGUACCCACCUGUCCUGUCCAAGAGAGAACAGCCAGCCCCACAGCCCCAAAUGUCUCUGUCCUCCAAGAGGCCAGAUGUGAAUCACAGGAAUUUACAGCCCAGCCUGGCAUGGGAUUUAUGAGUCUGCCUCCAGCCAGGGCUGGUGGGGAGUGGCCACUGUCAGCCCCCCAUUGCCGCUGAUGGAUGAGGCUGUUUCCUGUAAGACAAACUCCCUCUGUGGCAGGCAGUGGAGGGAGACACAUCCAGGCCCUAGGGCCAACCCCAUACCUGUCCCAGAGCCGGAUCCCUCGUGCCCUCACAGUCCAUGCCUCCCCUUGAUCCCCAGCCCUACACAGUGACACGCAAGCAGGAGGUGCACCCAAGGGGCCCAGCUCUUAGCCAGAGCUCUGCCUCCCACACUGCCAUCUGCACCCCCUCCCCAUGACCUUUAAAACCUUUCCAUCCCAGGGCCCAAGCCUUGGGACCAGCCCAAGAUGGGAUAUACCACACUCAAAGCCAGAAUGGAUCUCUGAGGUAGCCCAGAACACACACACGCACGCACGCACGCAUAUAUACACACACAUGCAUGCAUGCACAUACACAGUACACAGAUGAGAAACCAGGGUCCAGAGAGGAAUGGGCCUUGCCCAAAGUCACCCAGCAGCACAGUGGUGAAGCUGAGACCCCAGCCCACAAGCCCCCUGGACUGGUCAUUUCAGUGUCCGGUCACAGUGGACUGUCAUAUGGCCACAGGGGUAGUUUUCACCUCCAAAUGCAGGUGCCUCUCCAGAGAACAGACAGACCUGGGUUUGAGUCCAUGCCCCACCACUCUGUGUGUAAAGGUCAUAAACUCUCUGUGCCCGUUCCCUCACCUGAAAAAUGGGGAUCAAAAUAACCCCAACUUACCAAGGUUCUUACGAGGUUCAAGUGAGAGGAUGCAGGUAGAGCCGCAGGACAGAGUGGGCCCCUGGCACAUGCUCCCUGAGUGGUAACAAUGGUUCUCCACCAUCUCUCGUGUCUCAAGGGGCCCCGCUGCCUGAUUUGCUGCGGGCAGGAGGACAGUCAUGGUUGGGUGGGGCAGGAGGAGCAAGGAGAGUUUGAGUGUGGGACUGCAGGGCAGGAGUGAGGCCACUUCCUACUGGAGGAGACCCUGGAAGUCUCCCUGGAGGUGGUGGCAUCAAGCAGAGGAUGUAGAACUCUGUUUCUCUUGCUCUGAAGCUGACUGGGGGCUUCUUGAUUGCCACAGGGAUGGAGGGAAGCACCCUACCCUGAAAGCCUAGCCCAAGCUUCUGCCCUGGAUGACCUGAGGAGGAGUCCCUCCUUUCUCUGGGCAUCAGCAAAAUGGGGCCGGGAGGACUAGACAACACUCCCUAGAGGCACCUUUCUGCUCUGGCCUUGUUGCAAGCUGAAGAAGGUCCUCCAGACCCACCCUCUGCAGUACCCAAUUAUUGCCACUGGGCAGCAGCAGGGAGUAAAUCUGCGGUCCGGCCUCCUUUCCCUGCCGGCCAGUCCCUCUCCCAGCAUCCGGUGGUCUUUGCUCCUCCGUCCCCCCGCCAACUCGCCAGAGAGCCAGAGCUGAGCGUCCUUCACAUCCAGACAUCUGAUGCUCCCCUCAGCCCUGCAGAGAGCCAGCAUGCUGGCUGCUUUUCAGAUGGGGAAACUGAUGGCCAAGAGGUGAGGACUUGCUCAAGGUCACGCAAGAGCCAAGUGUGCCCACAGCGGAGGUGGUGUGAAAGGAGACUGCGGUCACACGGACCUGGCUGGGAUCCUGGUCUCCUCACCUCCAGCUGUGUGUCAUCGGGCAGGUCACCCACCCUCUCUGAGCCUCAAUUGAUAUAAGUGCUGAACACAUGAAGCCACCGCUUUGUUUCCAAUAGAGUUUAUGCCCCAAGAGUGCAAAGACAUGUCUGUCACUCACCUCAGCACCCCCAGAGCCUGGCGCAGGGUGGGAUUCGGAGAAUAGCGCCUGCCUCCCAGGGCCUGCCUGGCACUCAGCAGACACUGUGUCUCCUCAAACCGCAACCCCCCAACCUGGCCCCAGCCCUGGAUCAGCCUCACCUCGCCUCAUUCCCCUCCCAUCAGUCUUUCCUGCAGGACACCCACCCACCCGGCCUUGAGGGGGGGCUCCUGCUCACCUCCCCACCCCAUCCCUCUCGGCCCCCUUUCUCUGUCCUGGCCUCUCCCUCAUGUCGCUCUCUCCUGCCGAGCCCCCACUUGGCUCUACGCUGUUUACAAGAGAAUGAUGACAGUUUUUAUUUCUCUGUUUUAUCUCCCUUCCUCCCCUGAAGGGAAACGUGCUUCCAAUCUUCCAGGAAAAAUUGAAGGCUCCGGAUGAGAAAAAGCAAACAAAGGACAGUGGGACCAUGGGCGUCCCCACCCCCACCACCCGCAGGCCCCACACUCAAACCAGCGCCCGUGCCCACGCCCAUGCAGCCGUCCUCCGCCAGGCCCCAAGAACGGCUGUUACUUUGGGGGCCGAGGCACAAGGGAGGCCCCAUUCAUCUUCCCUGGAGUCGGCAUCCCUUUGAUUGCGGGGCCACCUCUCAUCUGAACAUCUUCACCCCCCCCCAAUAUUCCUUCUGAACCCUCCAUCCUCCUUCUCCCCUUCUCUUGGGACCAUAAACCUACCCCAAGAGUGAGUCCUAGCUCCAGGGCCAGCUCCCAAUCCUGCCUCUGUCUGGUGGCAGCUGGGGCCAGGCUGAAGGUCUGUCCUAGACUGAGCCAUAAAGGCAAAAAUAAUACUUACUCCUAAUAGAAGUAAAGCACUUCACCCUAGAUGAGCCCUGGUCCUGGUCACACACAGAACCUAGACCUUUAUUUAGAGAUGGACCAUUAAUUUGUCAUGUGGGCUAGGCAUGGUGGCUCAAACCUGUAAUCCCACUUUGGGAGGCCCAAGCAGGAGGAUCACUUGAGGCCAUGAGUUCGAGACCAGCCUAGGCAACAUAACAAGACCACGUCUCUACAAAAAGAUUUAAAAAUUAACCAGGUUUGGUGGCAUGUGCCUGUAGUCCCAGCUACUGCAGUGAACCAAGAUUGUGCCACUGCACUCCAGCCUGGGCAACGGAGCAAGAUCCUGUCACAAAAAAAAAUUAUCACGUGGCCGAAGUUAUUUCCAGGCUCCGAGCGCCAGCUUCCUCAUCUUUCCAACAGAGGGCCUUCACCUGGGCUAAGUGUUAAAUCAGAAAGCCCCUAUUCAGAGGUUGGCCUGCAGUUCCCUGACCUGGUAACACUGGGGAGCAUUGGCUGCUGUCACCUGCCAGCUCCCACCCCCACCCAACACUUACACACCAAGCAUCACUAAUUUUUGCAGCUGCCAUGAUAAAUGGCACUGUUGGCAAAAUGACAUCUUUCUAAUCUGCCACAAGACAGACGGGUCCCCGAGCUCCCACAGCCUCCCAAGAGCCAGCCCAGGCCAUCCUUGUUGAGAGGAUGGGCAGAUGCAAAGCCCAGGGCCUGGGGGCGGGUGGGAUGGAGAGGAGACCUCAGGGCCCAGAAUCAAGGACAUCCCUAGUGGGGUUUACCACAGGCUCUUUUCUAAAUAUUUAGUUGUAUGUGUGCUUUUAAAAAUAUUCCAAAGAAUAUUAUAUGCUCUGUUCCUUUCUGACCAAAGUUAGGGCUUCAAUUCAAUUUUCUUUUCUUUUCUUUCUUUUUUUUAGACAGGGUCUUGCUGUAUCGCCCAAGCUGGAGUGCAGUGGCACAAUCACAGCUCACUGCAGCCUUGACCUCCUGGGCUCAAGCGAUCCCCCCACCUCAGCCACCUGAGUAGCUGGGUCUAUAGGCGCCAGCUACCAUGCCUGGCUAAUCUUUGUAUUUUAUUUUGUAGACACGGGGUCUCGCCAUGUUGUCCAGGCUGGUCUUGAACUCUUGACCUCAAAUGAUCUGCUUGCCUUGCUCUCCCAAAAUGCUGGGAUUUCAGGCUUGGGCCACUGCACCCAGCCUCAAUUUUCACUUUAAAUUAAAACCUGGAUAUUGUUCAGGUUUAUAAGGAUGAACCAUUAGACACUGGUUCUGAGGCGGUGCUCUCUUCCUGUCACCCUCUGCUCUGCGGAACAGUCUGCCUCUGCCUGAGCCAUUAGGUCUGGGGGCUUUCUCACCCCCCUCCUCCCUCCCACUCCCUCCAUGGCUCCCACCCUCCCACCCAGCCUCUUUGCUGACCUCAGCCGCAUCCCCUCCAUGCCUCACACUGGCCUGGGACUGCCAGGUUCCUGUGUCCAGGAGUAGAGGUGAAUUGGGGCUCUGGAUGCCAAGAACAGAGGAAGGACAAAUGCCAGCCCCAGAGACCCUCACCUCCUCAAGACCAACAGGAGCUGGCGCCUGUCCGCCCAGCAGCAGCAAAGCCAGAGCGGGUGCCAGCCAGGGUGGGUAGGCACAGGCCUGGGCUUGAAGAUUGAGACAGCGCUGCCCCCUCCUGGCUAAUUCACGGCUGCUCCUCUGACAGGCACUGCCAGGCUAAGCUGUUGAGGUUGGGGACAUAGUGAGUGACCCCAAAAACAGCAUGUGACAAGCUGACCUUCCCUGCAGUCUGCCCAGCUGGGAGCUGCCUCCCACUCUGCCCAUCCUGUCCGAGCUUCUCCCAAAGCAUCUUCCGGCCCUCACACCUUCAGGGCAAAGCCCGAGGCCCCUCCCGGCUGCCCACAAUGUGGCCCCGGGUAGCAGCCUCGCCCCCUGCACCCCAGGCCCCUGCUGCUCUGUGCCUCCCCAGUUCCCUGUCACUGCACCUGCAUGCUUUGCUCUCACCUUGACCUCCACCUUCGCCCUCCCCAGCAGUCUCCUCUUGUCCUCUUAGGUCCCUCCCCGAGGAAACUCCUCUCCCAACUCCCAACCAGAGGGACUCCGCUCCUCUGCCUGCACCCCGACCUGCCCUGCCCCUGUCUCGGGGACUGCACACUGUCAGCACAGUCCCACAGUUCUGGAACUUGGGAGAACCUAGACCUCUUCCAAGCCUACCCUGUGCACUGUCUAAAGGGCAAUCCUGAGCCCAGAGAGGGGCAGGAGCUGCACAAGGCCACACAGCCUGUAAUGGCAGUUAGGACUGGAAUGCAGCUCUCCCGAGUCUCUGCCUGGGGCUCCUUGGAGGACAGACACAUGGCUUCCCCACCUGGUGAACCAGAAUGGAACUCUUCAAGGACAGGGACUGUAUCAUUCCUUCCAGUGUCCCCAGCCCCUCACCCAGAGCAGGACCCACAGGAAGCAACUGUGAACAGAAAAGGAAAAAACAAAUACAUGAAAAUGUAUCUCUAAUGUCUUCUGUGUGCCGGACACUCAGCAGGUACCGGCUCUGCUACUAGAAAUCUUGG